rnacentral:sRNA from 1 species
GGCUCAACGAGAUUGGGGAAAAAAAAAACAUGUUUUGAACACCAGGAUAAACUUCUAAAGUUGCAACCUAGACCGCCGGUAAAGAUAACGAGAGUUUUAGCCUGUCGGGCUCAAUUAUAACAAAAUGUUGGUGCUUAAGAAUCCGUGCCUGAGGUCGUUGGGCAACAAGCAAUUCACGAUCGUCAUGUUGAGGUGAGACAUUGGGUUUCAGAAUAUAAGAUAACUGACAAGUGCUUUUUUCCCUUCCAUCUGUUUUGAAACAGACACGGUUAAGGCUGCCCAUGGAAUGGUUGGUGGCACACAAGUGAGGAGAGAUCGCAGUCAUUUUUUCUGCUGCAACGCGAUGGUUAUCAUCACCAACCCAUCUCGAAUUCAAUACUUGCAUGCGCGA